GUCCUCUUAGUUCAAAGGUAGAAUAGCGGUCUUCUAAGCUGCCUAUAUAGGUUCGAUUCCUAUAGGGGAUU